UCUCCCCCAAAUCUCUUUCCCUAAUUAAUCGCCUUGUUUCCAACCUCUCGCCGUCGAGCUCACAAUUCCACCGCGUCGGCCCUGAUCUAUCCGACGUCGCCACUCAGAUCAGAUCCACUCCACCGCCCCACUUCUCGAUGCGGCCUCCAUUCCACUUCACUGGAGUACACGCAGGCCGCAGCUGCAGCAGGCGCCGAGUUGGACGCGGUUGCGGGCAGUUCGACCCCAUCAUGCGUGAGCGGCAAUCACACGUCGUCACCGGCGGCACUAUGUGCCACAGACUCCAGCUACUAUUGGCAUACGUGAUACGUCCUCAAUCUGCAUGCCCUAGGUAUUUUCUUUUUGGCAAUUCGUAUUACAAACCUGCAAACACAGCAGCUGCCAGAGCGUGUUUUUUUUUUACUCAAAUCAGUGUCUGCCCCAUAUCAUGGUUUAUCCCCCAGUUCAAGUUGAUGCAGGGUCACAAUUACUACUUAUGUUGGAUGAUACUUAUUCACAAAUUUCAGCACCUACAUAAUCUUUGCAGCAAGGAUGCUAAUUUUCGUUUUUAGAUUUCUAUGCUUCCACUAGGUCUCGCAUGUGUUGUGAUGUUAGGAUUUAUUUCAAGACUAAAAAUACGUCUUUACCGGCUUUUGCAACCCAUCUAAGGCUGGCAUGUACAACCUUAUGGUCAGCUAUUGUCAUAUUUAUUUGUGAUUUUUUAAUGUGCAGAGAACUACAAUCUAUGCCCAGGUUUGAGCGGCUAUUGUCGUCUUACACUGAUAAUAAAUUGCUGAUGGCCCGCUUCACUAUCAGAUCCUUUGUUGAUCCCUUUUUUUCUGACAACUCUAUUUGCUUCAGAGACUAAGCAGAUGCAAUGCUACUCAAACCCAGAGUGUCUAGUGCAAAUCUUCAACCGCGACCGUCAAACGAUCUGAUCCCAAAGGGGAAGUUCAAGGGCCUAAACUGGAUGAUGGAAGCUGUGGGUUCCGUUUCGGCAAAGGAGAGGUGGUAGUAGCAGCUACUUUGGUGGGUUCCUUCUCUUCACCAUUCGUGGUGCUCCUGGAUUACCUCAAGGACUUUGAGAAGUACCUGCUUGCUUGAGCAUCAUAUCGGAGAUGACGAUGCGGGCUACGACAUGAGCGGUGGGAUGCUAGGGCAUGAGUCUUAUUAGCAGUAGUGUCUGGUCCAUGCUAGAUAUUUCUAAAUGGUUGUCUCCUAAUCUAGAAGUGAAUCAGUCAACUGUCCUGAUUGGUUAUGCUAUUUGUCCUUGUCUUGUAAACAUCUAUGUUGACAGAUGAAAAGCUCAAAAUGUUAUAGGAUUGAGUCUGAGCUGCUGAAACUUGAUGCCAUCCGGCUGCUGUGCGUAAAAAUAAUGAGGAAAUAUAUGUACAACUGAGAUUUGCUCUUCAA